UACGUAGGGUGCGAGCGUUUGUCCGGAAUUAUUGGGCGUAAAGGGCUCGUAGGCGGUUUGUCGCGUCGGGAGUGAAAAUCCAGGGCUUAACUCUGGACUGGCUUCCGAUACGGGCAGACUAGAGGUAUGCAGGGGAGAACGGAAUUCCUGGUGUAGCGGUGAAAUGCGCAGAUAUCAGGAGGAACACCGGUGGCGAAGGCGGUUCUCUGGGCAUGAUCUGACGCUGAGGAGCGAAAGUGUGGGGAGCGAACAGG
rnacentral:rRNA from 1 species